CUCCCCCUCUGUUCUGUUCAUUGAAUGGCUAAUAGGCAUCUCAAACUCAAUGUGCCAAAACUGAAUUGAUGUUCUUCCCUGAGAUAGUGCCUUUCCUCUGGGCCACCUCAUCCAGUAAAUGAGGCACUGCUCACCCUCUCCUCAGAAUAAACUUGAAAGAUACCCUGCUUUCACUACUUUCUCCUCCUCUGUCCCUGCUACAGUUAUCAAUGUGUCCUGUUAAGUUCAAACUUGCCUCUCCUACUCAGCAUGGCUACUACUUUGGUUCAAACCACCAGUCAUCUUUGGCCUGGACUGAGGCAAUGGUUUAAUUGGCUCCCUGCUGUCAGUUUUGCCUGACACUCACUAAUUUUAUUCUCACAGCAGAAAACCAGACCCUGUUAAUCUUCUGUUAAAACCCAAAGAGAGCCCAUUCCUCUACACAGUCCACAGGCCCUGCAUGCCCUGGCCCCAGCCCACCUCCCCACUUCAUUGGAGCCUGUUUGCCAGGCCUGAUGUGUUAGCCACAGUGAUUUUCCUUUGGGUCUUGCACAGCCAGAGCUUAAUCGGCCCAGGGCCUUGGUACCACAGCUCUCAAGGUGUCUUCUGCUAACUUUCCCCUAAGGCUACCUUGAUUCUCUUGACUCCAAUUUUCCCAUCUCCUCCUCAAAGACCUUUUCUCCAACUGCUCUAUCUAGAGGAGCGCUUAUUUUCUAUUCCAGAACUGCUUUUAUCCCUAUAUUUACUUCAACUUGCAAUGAUUCAUUUGCCUUUUCCACUAAAAGCAAACUACAUGGAGCGAGAGGCUUUGGCGACUGUAUCCCCAGCUGGAAAACAGGACCAGCAGCCACCAAACACCUAACGCAGCGCGUGGCGUGCUGAAGCCGAGGGUCAGUUCAGUGCUGCGUCUCGGCAUAGAGGUGAGGUACAGAUCUCUGCAAGCCGGGAAAGCAAGGUGAGUUUUUUAGCAUCAAGGCUGGAACGAGCGAGGCUUCAAGGCUGGGCUGGCAAAGAAAUAAAAAUCUUCAUUUACUCUGCCCCUUCACGUGAAGAAUCCUCCCGUCCUCAGCUUCCAAGGCCCGGCAGGAGCGCCUUUCACCUUCGCCAUCUUCCUCGCCCCUGCCCAGGCCCCUCGCACCCCUCGAGACUUGGCUUCCCGCAGCUCCCGGUUCUCCCCUGUUCGGCUUGCCCAGGCAGGGGAAGGCGGCGGUCACACGUGCCUGCCCGGAUCCACGCUCAGCCCGCGUGUCGGGAACCGCCUGGAGCCGGACAAAGGGGCAGACCAGCCAUCCAGCCUCGGUUCCGGUCCACGAUCCCCCCCCGGGGCGCCCCGCAGGGCUCGGCGCGCGGUGGGCGGGGCGAGCG
ensembl:lncRNA